UCCCUCUUAGCUCAGUUGGUAGAGCGCGUCACUAGUAUUCAAGAAGAAACUGAGUACUCUAUGACGAGGUCAGUCGUUCAAGUCGGCUAGAGGGAA